GGAGCUUUAGUUUAAUUAAAAUACCUGCUUUGCAAGCAGAGGAUGUAGAGGGCCUGCAAGCUCUA
rnacentral:tRNA from 1 species